CCAGAGAACUUUCCAGAGAUGGAUUGGUGCCCUUCGGGAACUCUGAGACAGGUGCUGCAUGGCUGUCGUCAGCUCGUGUUGUGAAAUGGUUGGGUUAAGUCCCGCAACGAGCGCAACCCUUAUCCUUUGUUGCCAGCGGUUAGGCCGGGAACUCAAAGGAGACUGCCAGUGAUAAACUGGAGGAAGGUGGGGAUGACGUCAAGUCAUCAUGGCCCUUACGAGUAGGGCUACACACGUGCUACAAUGGCGCAUACAAAGAGAAGCGACCUCGCGAGAGCAAGCGGACCUCAUAAAGUGCGUCGUAGUCCGGAUUGGAGUCUGCAACUCGACUCCAUGAAGUCGGAAUCGCUAGUAAUCGUGGAUCAGAAUGCCACGGUGAAUACGUUCCCGGGCCUUGUACACACCGCCCGUCACACCAUGGGAGUGGGUUGCAAAAGAAGUAGGUAGCUUAACCUUCGGGAGGGCGCUUACCACUUUGUGAUUCAUGACUGGGGUGAAGUCGUAACAAGGUAAGCGUAGUGCU
rnacentral:rRNA from 1 species